GACAGGAGGUGCCGAGCGUUAGGCGGAAUCACUGGGCUUAAAGCGUGUGUAGGCGGAUCGUUAAGUACCUUGUGAAAUCCCACGGCUUAACCUGGAACUGCUGGGUAUACUGGCGAUCUUGAGCCACCUAGGGGCAACCGGAACAAAUGGUGGAGCGGUGAAAUGCGUAGAUAUCAUUUGGAACGCCAAUGGUGAAAACAGGUUGCUGGGGGUGUGCUGACGCUGGAGACACGAAAAGCCAGGGGAGCGAAACGGGG
rnacentral:rRNA from 1 species